rnacentral:rRNA from 1 species
UAGUCCACUCAUAAACGGUUGUUCACUAGCUAUGGGCAGUCUAUCUUGUCAGUGGCCCAGAUAACGCAUUAAGUGCACCGCGUGAGGACUACGGCCGCAAGGAUAAUACUCAAAAGAAAUUGACGGGUCGCCGCACAAGCGGUGGAGCAUGUGUAUUAAUUAGAUGCAACGAGAAGAAUCUUACCAGGUCUUGACAUGCAGUGGACCGGUGCAGAAAUGUGCCUUCUCUUCGGAGCCGCUGCACAGGUGCUGCAUGGCUGUCGUCAGCUCGUGUCGUGAGAUGUUCGGUUAAGUCCGUCAACGAGCGCAACCCCUGUCCUUAGUUGCCAGCAUUUAGUUGGGGACUCUAAGGAGACAAUCCGGCUUUGCCGGAGGGAAGGUGGGGGGGAUGUCAAGUCAGUAUGGCCCUUACGACGGGGGGGGCACACGUGGUACAAUGCCAAGUACAAUGAGUUCCGAAACCGCGAGGUGGAGGUUAUCUAUAAAAAAAGGCUCAGUUCGGAUUGGAGUCUUCAACUAGACUCCAUGAAGAAGGAAUCGCUAGUAAUGGCACAUCAGCAACGGUGCCGUGAAUACGUUCCCGGGGAUUGUACACACCGCCCGUCACAUCACGAAAGCCGGUUUUGCCCGAAGUAUGGAGCCAACCCGCAAGGGGGGAAGCGUCCACGGAUAGGCAGGGACUGGUGCC